GACGAACCGUGCGAACGUUAUUCGGAAUCACUGGGCUUAAAGCGCGUGUAGGCGGGACGGCACGUCUGUCGCUGAAAUCCCCCGGCUCAACCGGGGAACGGGCGCGGAUACGACCGUCCUGGAGGGGCGUAGGGGGACCUGGAACUUCCGGUGGAGCGGUGAAAUGCGUUGAGAUCGGAAGGAACGCCCGUGGCGAAAGCGAGGUCCUGGACGCUUACUGACGCUGAGACGCGAAAGCCAGGGGAGCGAAUGGG
rnacentral:rRNA from 1 species